rnacentral:rRNA from 1 species
CCUACGGGUGGCUGCAGUGGGGAAUAUUGCACAAUGGGCGCAAGCCUGAUGCAGCCAUGCCGCGUGUGUGAAGAAGGCCUUCGGGUUGUAAAGCACUUUCAGCGGGGAGGAAGGCGUUAAGGUUAAUAACCUUGGCGAUUGACGUUACCCGCAGAAGAAGCACCGGCUAACUCCGUGCCAGCAGCCGCGGUAAUACGGAGGGUGCAAGCGUUAAUCGGAAUUACUGGGCGUAAAGCGCACGCAGGCGGUCUGUCAAGUCGGAUGUGAAAUCCCCGGGCUCAACCUGGGAACUGCAUUCGAACCUGGCAGGCUAGAGUCUUGUAGAGGGGGGUAGAAUUCCAGGUGUAGCGGUGAAAUGCGUAGAGAUCUGGAGGAAUACCGGUGGCGAAGGCGGCCCCCUGGACAAAGACUGACGCUCAGGUGCGAAAGCGUGGGGAGCAAACAGGAUUAGAUACCCCAGUAGUC